UACGGAGGGUGCAAGCGUUGUUCGGAAUUACUGGGCGUAAAGCGCGUGUAGGUGGCUACUUAUGUCGGGUGUGAAAUCCCUGGGCCUAACCCAGGAAGUGCGCCCGAAACUGAGUGGCUUGAGUACGAUAGAGGGGGAUGGAAUUCCCAGUGUAGAGGUGAAAUUCGUAGAUAUUGGGAAGAACACCGGUGGCGAAAGCGGUUCCCUGGAUCGAUACUGACACUAAGACGCGAAAGCGUGGGGAGCAAACAGG
rnacentral:rRNA from 1 species